rnacentral:rRNA from 1 species
CUAAGUGGGUGGUAAACUCCAUCUAAGGCUAAAUAUGACCACGAGACCGAUAGCGAACAAGUACCGUGAGGGAAAGUUGAAAAGCACUUUGAAGAGAGAGUUCAAGAGUACGUGAAACCGUUUAGGGGUAAACCUGAGAAACCCGAAAGGUCGAAGGGAGAAAUUCAUUCGCGUUUCGGUCGUCGGCGCUCGACGGUCGUGCGACGGAGGACGCGUUCGCGCGCGUCGUCCGCGCCUCUCGUCGCGUCCGACUUCUUCGAACGCGUGCACUUUUCUCCUGGUAGGACGUCGCGAUCCGUUGAACGUCGGUCUACGGCCCGCGGUGGAGCCCGCUCGUACGGUUCGCGCCGUGUCGAGAGGACCCGUGGUGACCCGGCCGACACGUUCGACGGUAUAAGAAUGGCCGAGGGCCGCUUACAGAGCGUCCGACUCGAUGCAAGCGCAUCAGACAUGUCGAAUAUCGGACCCAGUGCCGAUACCGACACCUGGUGACUGUUGGCAACGAUGUUCUUGGACAGACCCUCUCUCCGUAUGGCCGAUCUGCGACGCUAUAGCUUUGGGUAAUUUCAGGACCCGUCUUGAAACACGGACCAAGGAGUCUAGCAUGUGCGCGAGUCAUUGGGAAACACUAAACCUAAAGGCGCAAUGAAAGUGAAGGUUCGCCUCGCGCGAACCGAGGGAGGAUAGGCGAUUCGCCCUUAAAGCGGUCGCCUCGCACUCCCGGGGCGUCUCGAUCUCAUUGCGAGAUGAGGCGCACCA